rnacentral:misc_RNA from 1 species
GAUGAAGAACGCAGUGAAAUGCGAUAAGUAAUGUGAAUUGCAGAACUCAGUGAAUCAUCGAAUCUUUGAACGCACAUUGCGCCCCUUGGUAUUCCGAGGGGCAUGCCUGUUCGAGCGUCAUUAUAACCCCUCAAGCUCAGCUUGGUGUUGGGGCCUGCCGCACGGGCAGCCCUUAAAAUCAGUGGCGGUGCCAUCUGGCUCUAAGCGUAGUAAUUCUUCUCGCUAUAGAGUCCCGGUGGAUGCUUGCCAUUAACCCCCAAUUUUCUAUGGUUGACCUCGGAUCAGGUAGGGAUACCCGCUGAACUUAAGCAUAUCAAUAAGCGGAGGA